rnacentral:rRNA from 1 species
AUAGGCCGGGGGUGGAAGCGCAGCGAUGCGUUGGGCUAACCGGUACGAAUGAAACGUGAGGCUUAACCUUACAACGACGAAG